ensembl:misc_RNA 7SK 7SK RNA
AGAUGUGAGGGUGAUCUGGCUACGACAUCUGUCACUCCAUUGAUCACCAAGAUUGAUUCAGCUGAUCUGGCUGGCUAGGUGGGUGUCCCCUCCCUCCCUCACCUCCAUGUAGGUCCCUCCCCAAAGCGGUGCACUCGGUAGAAGAGGACGCCCUUCCCUGAUAGGUAAGGUAUACAAGUAGCUAUGCUCCCUUACUAAAACCUCCAAACAAGCUCUCAAGUUUACUUAGCUCCUUGAACAUGACUCACUUUAUUCCUCUGAUAUUACUAAGAGCUCAAAAGAUUCUUUUCCUAGCAAACAGG